UUUUACAUCUGCUUUUGGUGUCCUAC
rnacentral:piRNA from 1 species